rfam:Lupinus angustifolius cultivar Tanjil contig_4178, whole genome shotgun sequence.
AGGUGCUAUCAUACCAUCACUAAUGCACCAUAUCCUUUUAUAACUCUGCAAUUAAUCGUGCUUAGGCGUGAGUAGCACUAGGAUGGGUGACCUCCUUGGAAGUCCUCGUGUUGCACCUC